ensembl:lncRNA
GCUGAAUAAUUAUUUUAUUGUAUGGUCAGCAGUACGGUGUACAUUUUAGGACAUCGUCAGGUAUCAGAAAAAAAAUUGUCAGGUGUCAGUUGUCAAAAAAAAAAAAAGUCAGGUAUCAGAAAAAAAAUUGUCAGGUAUCAGAAAAAAAAUUGUCAGGUGUCAGAAAAAAAAUUGUCAGGUGUCAGUUGUCAAAAAAAAAAAAGUCAGGUAUCAGAAAAAAAAUUGUCAGGUGUCAGAAAAAAAAUUGUCAGGUGUCAGUUGUCAAAAAAAAAAAAAGUCAGGUAUCAGAAAAAAAAUUGUCAGGUGUCAGAAAAAAAAUUGUCAGGUGUCAGUUGUCAAAAAAAAAAAAGUCAGGUAUCAGAAAAAAAAUUUCAGGUAUCAGAAAAAAAAUUGUCAGGUGUCAGAAAAAAAGUUGUCAGGUGUCAGAAAAAAAAUUGUCAGGUGUCAGAAAAAAAGUUGUCAGGUGUCAGAAAAAAAUUUUUCUGGCAUAUUCAUAUAAAGGAUUUUUUUUUUUAAAGUAAGAAGCCUUACAUUGUUUCUUUAAUAGUCCAAUUUUUCUUUAAUAUGUUGGUUCUUGCACACCUACAAAAUUCCCAAACAUGUUGUAAGUUUAGGCUUUACAAACUGAAAGUUUCUAUUAUUUUAUUAGUCUGUACCACUUGCUUAAGUGGAAUG